AGCGAACGCUGGCGGCAGGCCUAACACAUGCAAGUCGAGCGCCGUAGCAAUACGGAGCGGCAGACGGGAGAGUAACACGUGGGAACGUACCCUUUGGUUCGGAACAACCCAGGGAAACUUGGGCUAAUACCGGAUAAGCCCUCACGGGGAAAGAUUCAUCGCCGAAGGAUCGGCCCGCGUCUGAUUAGCUAGUUGGUGGGGUAAUGGACCACCAAGGCGACGAGCAGUAGCUGGUCUGAGAGGAUGAUCAGCCUCACUGGGACUGAGACACGGCCCAGACUCCUACGGGAGGCAGCAGUGGGGAAUAUUGGACAAUGGGCGCAAGCCUGAUCCAGCCAUGCCGCGUGGGUGAUGAAGGCCCUAGGGUUGUAAAGCCCUUUCGGCGGGGAAGAUAAUGACGGUACCCGCAGAAGAAGCCCCGGCUAACUUCGUGCCAGCCGCCGCAGUAACAC
rnacentral:rRNA from 1 species